GACGAACGCUGGCGGCGUGCUUAACACAUGCAAGUCGAACGGUAAGGCCCUUCGGGGUACACGAGUGGCGAACGGGUGAGUAACACGUGGGUGAUCUGCCCUGCACUUCGGGAUAAGCCUGGGAAACUGGGUCUAAUACCGGAUAGGACCACUGCCUGCAUGGGUGGUGGUGGAAAGCUUUUGCGGUGUGGGAUGGGCCCGCGGCCUAUCAGCUUGUUGGUGGGGUGAUGGCCUACCAAGGCGACGACGGGUAGCCGGCCUGAGAGGGUGGCCGGCCACACUGGGACUGAGAUACGGCCCAGACUCCUACGGGAGGCAGCAGUGGGGAAUAUUGCACAAUGGGCACAAGCCUGAUGCAGCGACGCCGCGUGAGGGAUGACGGCCUUCGGGUUGUAAACCUCUUUCAGCACCGACGAAGCGCAAGUGACGGUAGGUGCAGAAGAAGGACCGGCCAACUAUGUGCCAGCCGCCGCAGUAA
rnacentral:rRNA from 1 species